rnacentral:misc_RNA from 1 species
AGCCUGAGCUGCAGGCAUUGCAGCCGGCCUGCUCUUCUAGGACUGCUUCAAGCACAAGCCCUUCUAGUGAUGGGAAUUUUAGCAUCGCCCCAGUACCAAGAUUGCCAAUACCAAAACCAUCUGAACCUGUUUUCUUAUACUCAUCAUCUGAUAGAAAUGAUGCUUCUACUUCUAGUCGACAAGAACACAACCUUGAACUUCAACUCCUACCAUCAUCCACCACUCGCUUAUCACAAAAUCCAGAUGAAAGUUACCCUACAAAUUUGAAGCUUUCAAUAGG